rnacentral:tRNA from 1 species
GGGCCGUUAGCUCAGUUGGUAGAGCAGGGGACUCUUAAUCCCAAGGUCAAAGGUUCGAAUCCUUUACGGCCCA